ACAGGGAUUGCCUUAGUAACGGCGAGUGAAGCGGCAAUAGCUCAGAUUUGAAAUCUACUUCUUUCAGAGGUCGAGUUGUAAUCUGUAGAGGAUGUUUCGGUGUUGGCUCCGGCCUAAGUUCCUUGGAACAGGACGUCACAGAGGGUGAGAAUCCCGUACGUGGCUGGUCUCCUUCACCAUGUGAAACUCCUUCAAUGAGUCGAGUUGUUUGGGAAUGCAGCUCUAAACGGGAGGUAAAUUUCUUCUAAAGCUAAAUAUCUGCCAGAGACCGAUAGCGCACAAGUAGAGUGAUCGAAAGAUGAAAAGCACUUUGGAAAGAGAGUUAAACAGCACGUGAAAUUGUUGAAAGGGAAGCGCUUGCAAUCAGACUUGUUUAUAUCGGCUUAUCCAAGCUUUUGGCUUGGUGCACUCCUUUAUGUACAGGCCAGCAUCAGUUCGGACGGUUGGAUAAAGGCCCUAGAAAUGUAGCUCGCCUCGGUGAGUGUUAUAGUCUUAGGUGCAAUGCAGCCUGUCUGGACUGAGGUCCGCGCUUCGGCUAGGAUGCUGGCGUAAUGGUUGUAAGCGGCCCGUCUUGAAACACGGACCAAGGAGUCUAACAUCUAUGCGAGUGUUUGGGUGUAAAACUCAUACGCGUAAUGAAAGUGAACGGAGGUGGGAACCGCAAGGUGCACCAUCGACCGAUCCUGAUGUCUUCGGAUGGAUUUGAGUAAGAGCAUAGCUGUUGGGACCCGAAAGAUGGUGAACUAUGCGUGGGUAGGGUGAAGCCAGAGGAAACUCUGGUGGAGGCUCGCAGCGGUUCUGACGUGCAAAUCGAUCGUCAAACCUGCGCAUAGGGGCGAAAGACUAAUCGAACCAUCUAGUAGCUGGUCCUGCGA
rnacentral:rRNA from 1 species